GGGAGAAGCUCAUGAUGUUGGCUGAAAUGUCUGAACCUGACUGAGACAUCUUUGAUGCGUCACCUUUAUGCUCUGAAGCUUCUCAAAAG